rnacentral:rRNA from 1 species
UACGUAGGGUGCGAGCGUUGUCCGGAAUUAUUGGGCGUAAAGAGCUCGUAGGCGGUCUGUCGCGUCGGUCGUGAAAACUUGGGGCUUAACCCUGAGCUUGCGGUCGAUACGGGCGGACUGGAGUACUGCAGGGGAGACUGGAAUUCCUGGUGUAGCGGUGAAAUGCGCAGAUAUCAGGAGGAACACCGGUGGCGAAGGCGGGUCUCUGGGCAGUAACUGACGCUGAGGAGCGAAAGCGUGGGGAGCGAACAGG